GAGGGAAGAAAGCAUUGAAAAGAAUGCUAAUUCUGAAAGAUAUGAGAUGAAAUGCUGAGUUCUUCUUUGGGCAACCUUCAUUUAGGCAUGGGCAUGUUAUGGUUGCUGGUUAUCUUGCUACUGUAGGUAAAGCAUGCCACUAUAUACAAAAAUAUAUAUAUGAAAGCUAUCAGCUUUUUGUUUAGAGAAAGAAAG